GCUGGAAUGGUGUAACUUGGUAAACGCGGCGGACUUAAAAUCCGUUUUGUGAGGGUUCAAAUCCCUCUUCCAGUA
rnacentral:tRNA from 2 species